UACGGGGGGGGCAAGCGUUGUUCGGAAUUACUGGGCGUAAAGGGCUCGUAGGUGGCCAACUAAGUCGGACGUGAAAUCCCUCGGCUUAACCGGGGAACUGCGUCUGAUACUGGAUGGCUUGAGUUCGGGAGAGGGAUGCGGAAUUCCAGGUGUAGCGGUGAAAUGCGUAGAUAUCAUGAGGAACACCAGAGGCGAAGGCGACUUCCUGGACAAUUGCUGACGCUCAGGCACGAAAGCAUGGGGAGCAAAAGGG
rnacentral:rRNA from 1 species